AGAAUGUUGAGUUUGGGGUGUACCUACUGUAGCAGGCUGGGUUUGGGGUGUGGCUUCUGUAGAAUGUUGAGUUUGGGGUGUAGCUACUGUAGCAGGUAGAGUUUGGGGUGUGGCUACUAUAGCAGGCUGAGUUUGGGGUGUGGCUUCUGUAGAAUGUUGAGUUUGGGGUGUAGCUACUGUAGCAGGCUGGGUUUGGGGUGUGGCUUCUGUAGAAUGUUAAGAUUGGGGUGAAGCUACUAUAGCAGGUAGAGUUUGGGGUGUGGCUUCUCCAGCAGGCUGAAUUUGGGGUGUGGCUGCUGUAGUAGAUUGAGUUUGGGGUGUGGCUAAUACAGUAGGCAGGUUUUUGUGUGUGGCUUCUUAGGGGUGUUGAGUUUGGGGUGUG